GUGUCAGCAGCCGCGGUAAUACGUAGGUGGCAAGCGUUAUCCGGAAUAAUUGGGCGUAAAGCGGGCGCAGGUGGUUUCUUAAGUCUGAUGUGAAUGCCCACGGCUCAACCGUGGAGGGUCAUUGGAAACUGGGAGGCUUGAGUGCAGAAGAGGAAUGUGGAAUUCCAUGUGUAGCGGUGAAAUGCGUAGAGAUAUGGAGGAACACCAGUGGCGAAGGCGACUCUCUGGUCUGUAACUGACGCUGAGGAGCGAAAGCGUGGGGAGCGAACAGGAUUAGAUACCCCCGUAGUCC
rnacentral:rRNA from 1 species